rnacentral:rRNA from 1 species
UACGGGGGGAGCAAGCGUUGUUCGGAUUUACUGGGCGUAAAGGGCGCGUAGGCGGCCACCGCAAGUCGACUGUGAAAUCUCCGGGCUUAACCCGGAAAGGUCAGCCGAUACUGCGGGGCUAGAGUGCAGAAGGGGCAACUGGAAUUCUCGGUGUAGCGGUGAAAUGCGUAGAUAUCGAGAGGAACACCUGCGGCGAAGGCGGGUUGCUGGGCUGACACUGACGCUGAUGCGCGAAAGCAAGGGGAGCGAACGGG